AACUGGACUUCCCUUGAAUUUAAGACUUCGAGAUUAAACAAAUUUCGGAAUACUAAGUGUAUUUAUUAUGCCUACUAUCUCUACACAAAAAAAAAAAAGCCAAGU